GACGAACGCUGGCGGCGUGCCUAAUACAUGCAAGUCGAGCGAACCAAUAAGAAGCUUGCUUUUUGUUGGUUAGCGGCGGACGGGUGAGUAACACGUGGGUAACCUGCCUGUAAGACCGGGAUAACUCCGGGAAACCGGUGCUAAUACCGGAUAGAUUAUCUUUCCGCAUGGAGAGAUAAGGAAAGAUGGCUAUUGCCAUCACUUACAGAUGGGCCCGCGGCGCAUUAGCUAGUUGGUGAGGUAACGGCUCACCAAGGCGACGAUGCGUAGCCGACCUGAGAGGGUGAUCGGCCACACUGGGACUGAGACACGGCCCAGACUCCUACGGGAGGCAGCAGUAGGGAAUCUUCCGCAACGGACGAAAGUCUGACGGAGCAACGCCGCGUGAGCGAAGAAGGUCUUCGGAUCGUAAAGCUCUGUUGUUAGGGAAGAACAAGUAUCGGAGGAAAUGCCGGUACCUUGACGGUACCUGACGAGAAAGCCACGGCUAACUACGUG
rnacentral:rRNA from 1 species